rnacentral:rRNA from 1 species
CCUACGGGUGGCAGCAGUGAGGAAUAUUGGUCAAUGCACGAGAGUCUGAACCAGCCAAGUCGCGUGAAGGAUGACUGCCCUAUGGGUUGUAAACUUCUUUUAUAUGGGAAUAAAAUGUUCCACGUGUGGGAUUUUGUAUGUACCAUAUGAAUAAGAAUCGGCUAACUCCGUGCCAGCAGCCGCGGUAAUACGGAGGGUCCGAGCGUUAUCCGGAUUUAUUGGGUUUAAAGGGAGCGUAGGUGGAUUGUUAAGUCAGUUGUGAAAGUUUGCGGCUCAACCGUAAAAUUGCAGUUGAAACUGGCAGUCUUGAGUACAGGAGAGGUGUGCGGAAUGCGUGGUGUAGCGGUGAAAUGCUUAGAUAUCACGAAGAAUUCCGAUUGCGAAGGCAGCUCACUGGACUGCAACUGACACUGAGGCUCGAAAGUGUGGGUAGCAAACAGGAUUAGAUACCCCUGUAGUC